GGGGAAUAUUGGACAAUGGGCGCAAGCCUGAUCCAGCCAUGCCGCGUGAGUGAUGAAGGCCUUAGGGUUGUAAAGCUCUUUUGUCCGGGAAGAUAAUGACUGUACCGGAAGAAUAAGCCCCGGCUAACUUCGUGCCAGCAGCCGCGGUAAUACGAAGGGGGCUAGCGUUGCUCGGAAUCACUGGGCGUAAAGGGCGCGUAGGCGGACUCUUAAGUCGGGGGUGAAAGCCCAGGGCUCAACCCUGGAAUUGCCUUCGAUACUGGGAGUCUUGAGUUCGGAAGAGGUUGGUGGAACUGCGAGUGUAGAGGUGAAAUUCGUAGAUAUUCGCAAGAACACCAGUGGCGAAGGCGGCCAACUGGUCCGAUACUGACGCUGAGGCGCGAAAGCGUGGGGAGCAAAC
rnacentral:rRNA from 1 species